rnacentral:misc_RNA from 1 species
GAUGAAGAACGUAGCGAAAUGCGAUACUUGGUGUGAAUUGCAGAAUCCCGUGAACCAUCGAGUCUUUGAACGCAAGUUGCGCCCGAAGCCAUUAGGCCGAGGGCACGCCUGCCUGGGCGUCACACGUCGUUGCCCCCCCAUCUACUCCUUCGGGAUUGCGGGGGGCGGAUGAUGGCCUCCCGUGCGCCUCGCCGCGCGGUUGGCAUAAAUGCCAAGUCCUCGGCGACGCACGCCACGACAAUCGGUGGUUGCGAAACCUCGGUUGCCCGUCGUGUGCGGUCGUCGCGCAUCGAGGGCUCGAAAAAAUUGCCGGGUUCCGGCUCGGCUUUCAACGCGACCCCAGGUCAGGCGGGGUUUCCCGCUGAAUUUAAGCAUAUCAAUAAGCGGAGGA